rnacentral:rRNA from 1 species
AUGGAAUUCAACCAGGAUUAUGAGCCUGAUGACGACGAGGAUCUCACUAGGCGCCAUGACUACUCCCGAUCCUGCUUCAGAGGGAGGGUGGAUGGCACUGGGAGGGGCUCUGCUCCCCGUUCGGGUGUGCACCCCUUUGGUGGCCCUGGUGGUUUCGGAAUUGCUGGUGACUGGGGGCGCCGGGCCCAUGGUCUGCUGACUCCGGCAGGUAGCAUGCUGCCUCCUCACUUGCAACCAUCCAGGAAGACAGCAGACAGCGUGGAAGAGACAAGAUCAUUGUCGCCUUCACUUGGAGCAUGCUUUGAAUCAGGAGUUGAAGGGCAUGAUGCUGCUGCGUCUCCAAUUACUCCAGUUGCAGGAUCGACGGCGCACUCCCCAGCUCCUGGCGCCUCGGCUCCCUCUGGGUACGCCCCCACGGCGGUGGGUUCAGCUGUGUUUGCUGACACUCCGGAGGUUCCUCCUUCUCCGACUACUACUAUGGCGGGCUCUCAGGCGUUCAGUGACACACCUCCCUUCGGCAGGGCUACUCUUCAUAUGUCGUGGUCACCGCGCUGGCUUUCUGUGGGAUCGGAGGAAGAGGUACUCGAGGAGCAAAGGGACGAGGACGGAGCCUGCCUGGGCGGGAGCGACAUCCGUAGGGCGGAGGACUCCUCCGAUGCCGCUGACGAAGCACUGUUACCCGCUCUGGAUGAUGGACCGCCAAGACUCAACUCACCAAGGCUGCCGCAACAAGGGGAGGGCUCGCUGAUGUCUGGCAGCAGCCUGGUAUGCACACCAUUCACGAUCCCGCUGAGCCCAAGCAAACUGUUGCCCUCCAAGCACCGACAGGUGGUUUGGCUCAUAAAUUUGGUCCCAGGACGGUGGAAGAGACUCUCCUGUGUGGUAUGGUGGCCACUCCUAAAGCAUCUCUUAUGGGUCCGAGACCGGCGGCUUCGGCUCCAGUGA